rnacentral:lncRNA from 12 species
UUUCCCCUUGACCAGCCUUUCCUUCUGAGACCUUUUUCACCUCAUUUCCCUGACAUUUUCUAGAGGCAUUUGAAAAUGUGGUGAUUGAGAGAGCAAAUGUGUGCCCCACAGUUUGUCCCCAUAACAGGGGAGAUUGUCACAUCUAAUCCCACCCUCAGCCUUGGAUCCAAAUGACAGGAGCAGCCAAUACCAACGAAGAUUAUGAAAAAACACUAGAAUGCCGAAUGUGUCUGUGCAGAAAAUGCUCAGGUCUGAUUUGCCAAGGACUUGGGCAUGAGUUUUCCAAGCACUGAACCAGGAGCAGUUCUCUGCUUUCUUUUUUCACAACCGCCCAGAGCAACCCAAAUUAGUUUCUUUGUUUUUCUCUCCACAGUUCCCUGGCUUUCCUCUUCUGGAGAAUCUUGGUUCAAUUUGUGUUUUAGUGUUUGUACUCAUGGGAUUAGGUUUAUGGGAAAUAUGCUCACAGAGGAAAUCAGAAUUGAAAGCUGCUGUUUGCAAUCACACAUUACCGCGGUGAGUGCCCGGAAGAAAGCCAGGGACACAAGGGAGGUGGCCUGUGAUGCUGGAUCAAGAUCAGAAGUUCAAGGAAGCUGAGGAAGAAAACAGUCUGGCUGAUAUUGGUAGGAGUAGCUAUGAUUAUCAAUUUUGUGGUUUUUAUCAUGUUUCCCAAUAUCUGCCUUUUAAAGGGUCACAUCCUCUUGGAAGAUUCUCCUGUACUUCCUUCAUAUUUAGACACAGGGAGGAAGAAAAAGCAUUGGUGAAAAUCCUGAUGACAGAAUGUUAGCACUUGAAUAGACCUCGGUGAUCCAUGUCCAAACUCUUGAUCUACAGAUCUGAAAACUGAAACCCAGGGACAGGCUCAAUCAUUUUCUCUAGCUGGUUGAUUCACAAAUGAUGUGCAUAAGACUUGGCCAUAUAUAACUCUGGGGUAAAGGCAAACCUAUCAUCAAGAGAAAAACAGGACACUUUGGGGGCUACCCAAAAGAACAUACUGCCCUAAAGAAAGACCCUGAAGGUUUCCAGCAAUAGUCUAAGCUGCAGCAACAUUUUUGUCACACAAUAUGGCAUUUUGAGUUACCAUUGGAAUGAGGCCACCAUGUUGUCCACCUGCUCUGAACCUUUUAGUUCCUGUUUCUUCAGGACUAGGCUUGCUAUGAGUCCAACUCUGCUCCUG